rnacentral:tRNA from 1 species
GGGCGAUUAGCUCAGCCUGGGAGAGCGCCGCAUUGACAUUGCGUAGGUCACAGGUUCAAACCCUGUAUCGCCCA